GAUGAACGCUGGCGGCGUGCCUAAUACAUGCAAGUCGAGCGAACAGACGAGGAGCUUGCUCCUUUGACGUUAGCGGCGGACGGGUGAGUAACACGUGGAUAACCUACCUAUAAGACUGGGAUAACUUCGGGAAACCGGAGCUAAUACCGGAUAACAUGUUGAACCGCAUGGUUCAACAGUGAAAGACGGUCUUGCUGUCACUUAUAGAUGGAUCCGCGCCGCAUUAGCUAGUUGGUAGGGUAACGGCUUACCAAGGCAACGAUGCGUAGCCGACCUGAGAGGGUGAUCGGCCACACUGGAACUGAGACACGGUCCAGACUCCUACGGGAGGCAGCAGUAGGGAAUCUUCCGCAAUGGGCGAAAGCCUGACGGAGCAACGCCGCGUGAGUGAAGAAGGUCUUCGGAUCGUAAAACUCUGUUAUUAGGGAAGAACAAGUGUGUAAGUAACUAUGCACGUCUUGACGGUACCUAAUCAGAAAGCCACGGCUAACUACGUG
rnacentral:rRNA from 1 species